AACGAACGCUGGCGGCGUGGAUAAGACAUGCAAGUCGAACGGGAACUUUCGCUGUAGCAAUACAGCGGAAGUUUUAGUGGCGAACGGGUGCGUAACACGUGGGGAAUCUGCCGAGAAGUGGGGGAUAGCUCGUCGAAAGGCGAAUUAAUACCGCAUAUGAUCAGCCAAGACAUCUUAGCGACAUCAAAGCCGGGGCAACCUGGCGCUUCUUGAUGACCCCGCGGCCUAUCAGCUAGUUGGUGAGGUAACGGCCCACCAAGGCUAUGACGGGUAGCUGGUCUGAGAGGACGACCAGUCACACUGGAACUGAGACACGGUCCAGACACCUACGGGUGGCAGCAGUCGAGAAUUUUUCUCAAUGGGGCAACCCUGAAGGAGCGACGCCGCGUGGAGGAUGAAGGCUUUCGGGUUGUAAACUCCUGUCAUCUGAGAACAAGUGCCAACAAGUAACUACUGUUGG
rnacentral:rRNA from 1 species